GAUGAACGCUGGCGGCGUGCCUAAUACAUGCAAGUCGAGCGAACGGACGAGAAGCUUGCUUCUCUGAUGUUAGCGGCGGACGGGUGAGUAACACGUGGAUAACCUACCUAUAAGACUGGGAUAACUUCGGGAAACCGGAGCUAAUACCGGAUAAUAUUUUGAACCGCAUGGUUCAAAAGUAAAAGACGGUCUUGCUGUCACUUAUAGAUGGAUCCGCGCUGCAUUAGCUAGUUGGUAAGGUAACGGCUUACCAAGGCAACGAUGCAUAGCCGACCUGAGAGGGUGAUCGGCCACACUGGAACUGAGACACGGUCCAGACUCCUACGGGAGGCAGCAGUAGGGAAUCUUCCGCAAUGGGCGAAAGCCUGACGGAGCAACGCCGCGUGAGUGAUGAAGGUCUUCGGAUCGUAAGACUCUGUUAUUAGGGAAGAACAUAUGUGUAAGUAACUGUGCACAUCUUGACGGUACCUAAUCAGAAAGCCACGGCUAACUACGUG
rnacentral:rRNA from 1 species